UACAGAGGUCUCAAGCGUUGUUCGGAUUUACUGGGCGUAAAGGGCGCGUAGGCGGCGUGACAAGUCACUUGUGAAAUCUCCGGGCUUAACUCGGAACGGUCAAGUGAUACUGUCGUGCUAGAGUACAGAAGGGGCAACUGGAAUUCACGGUGUAGCGGUGAAAUGCGUAGAUAUCGAGAGGAACACCUGCGGCGAAGGCGGGUUGCUGGGCUGAUACUGACGCUGAGGCGCGAAAGCCAGGGGAGCGAACGGG
rnacentral:rRNA from 1 species